GUAGCUUAUGCAAAGGCCUGUUUCCUAGGCUACAUACAAGGGAAGUGUUCCUUAUCUUUCUGCCUAGGGGAAAGUCCCUGUAUCAUGGGCAGAGAGUACACUUCUGUUAGUCCACCAAAAAAGCCAGCUGUGGCUCAUGCUAGACUCUGGGUUCUUGUGGUUUUAUGGCCAACUAGGCUAGCAUAUUAGCAAGUCCUAGAUGGAUGAGAGACCUGGUUACAAAAUGUAAUGCGUGUGGCUC
ensembl:ribozyme RNase_MRP RNase MRP